rnacentral:rRNA from 1 species
UCCUGGGGUACCGGUCAUGUGGCGAUUAUUAAUCGCUUGUUUCUUCUCCCAGAAAAGAGCUUUACAACCGAAGGCCUUCAUCGCUCACGCGGCGUCGCUGCAUCAGGCUUUCGCCCAUUGUGCAAGAUUCUUA